UUUUGUACAUAAAAAUUUCAUUAUAAAAUUAUCAUGAAAAAAUAAUUAAAUUUUUUAAAUUAUAAUGGCAAUUGCUUAUCCUUAACAUAGACUACGUGAUCACAUUUUGAACAUUAACUUGGAAAACAUUCGAGAUGAAACAACGCACCAUGAUUUUCUAUUUUUCAAUGGAAUUGCAUCAGUUUCUCAACUUCCACUUCCUCAAACAGCACGAUGUUGCUCCUGUUGUAAAUGUUGAACAUGAAGCAUGUAGUUUGGGAAUCACAGAUAUCACAGCAGUACACUGGACAGGUGCUUUUGCCAGUCGCGUAGAAAGAUAUGUAAGAAGACUUAUUUUUUUUUUACCGUAGCGCUUCAUAAUUGACUAGCAUGGCAAUCUAUUUUAGAUGACACGAAGAUCUUAAGAAAGAACAUCUCAUGGCAUCAAUAAAAUCAAAAAUUGAAUUCUGGGAGGAUAUGCUGGCCCCAAACUUAUGAUUUGGGGCUAACAUAUCCUCCCAAAAUUCUAUUUUUCAUAUGAUAAUAUCGUGUAUAUGAAUUUCCACAAAGAAGGAUGCAUGUGGAUCGUCAAGAUAAGUUCAGAUGCCAUUGUAAAGAAAAUUGAUGAAUUUACACACGGUAAACAUUUUUAAAAAUUUUAAAAAGUGGUAUAAACAAAAUUUUAAGAUAAGCUACCUAUCUAAUUACUUGAACUAAAAUCCAGUUGCCCAGUAGAAAAUAGUUAAUUUCUUUGGCUUCUUCAACUGACAUUGACGGGAAAACACAGCGUUGACUGUUCAGUGUGGUUAUUGAUUGACCAAUUUUUUGGUGAUUUUCAUACCAAUGACUUUGAAGCUUUUAUUGCUUUUCAAAGUUCAAGUUUUGUGAUUGUAAAUAUCGUUACCAUUAAAUGCAAAACCAUGUAUGUCCAUAAAAAAAGUACGAUUUUAAGCAUCACUGAUAAGGUUCGGAUAUGCUCGGAAGGGUUCGUUGAGUCCUGAUUGAAUAUUGGUUAGCUUCAUGCAUUUUCCAUGGAGCAUUUUCACUGCACCCAGAUGCAAAUUUUCCAAUUCAGGGCAUCAUAGAUUCUUAACAGUGACGCACAAAGACGAUUUUUUUUUAUGGACACACACGACAUUGCCUUCAAGGUAAUGAUGGGACAUUUCAUGCCAAAUCGGCGGAUUUUUGCACGAUGGAUCUUCGAUUUUUUUUCAAAAUCAGAUCAUGUGUAGAGGUCAUAUGAUGUAAACCCGACAUUUUUUCGAUUUUUUUUGGCGGAACUGUGAGGCUUCAAAGUUCUGUAAAAUGUCUGAAAAUGGAAAAUUUCAGUUGCCAAUUGCUCCGGUUGUACACGGUAUAGAAUUUCGACCUAUUUUCUUCAAGUUGUAGCACUUUGAGAGGGUAAUCGACGAAUGAUGUCAAAAUCAGUGUUGCCACUUUCAAAAACCUAAAAAAAUUGAUUUAAAAACUUAUAAUUUAAAUAAGAACCACAAUGUCCAAGAUGUAAAAUUCUGAAAAAAUUCUCAGUUUUAGCCCAUUUUACGUAGAAUAACAUAUCAACAAAUUGAACUAGCAUUUUUUUUCAUUGUCGAGAAAAAAAUUGCAAGAUUCGUACUUAUUGCAAAAAUAUAUCAUCGGAAACCUAAAAAAUGAAAAUUUUUGCAUUUUUGAGAUGUUUUACCGCAAUGGAGCAAUUUGCAACUGAAAUUGUCUAUUUUCAGCCAUUUUGGAGAACUUUGAAGAUUCACAGCUCAGCUGAAAAAAAUAUCGAAAAAAUGUCCGGUUGACGUCAUUUGUCAUUGUUUGAUGACCUCUACACAUGAUCUGAUUUUGAAAAAAAUUGAAGACCCAUCGUGCAAAAAUCCACGUAUUUGGCAUGGAAUGACCUAAUACGAUUUUUAACACUUCCCAUAAGUAUCAUACGUGUUUUCAAUCAGAAAAUGAAAUUAAAUUACUUACACAUAAAAUUUCACUCACGUUUGAGUUUGAUCGCACGCGAAUGAUAAGUAAAUUACUUACUGCAAUUUAUGAAUAUAAAAAACAGCUCACCCUCUUGAGUAUACUAAGGGGGGGGGGCAUUGCUCCCACUAUUCACACCAGGCUACACGGGUUCACUAGUACUACAGAUCAUUUACUUCAGAAUUUCUAAGAACAAACUACAAUUUUUUUGACGUUUAAGACAACAAAUUGGUAUUUUAGGUGUCCUUCAAUGCAGGGAAUGUUUUGUGAAAAAACAACGAGUUGAUUGAGUUUCGAUGUUUGUGAGUAGAACGUUGAGCGUUGUUGACUAAUAAACCAUUUAUCGAUGCUAUUAAACCUCAGGUUCUAUAAACCUUCUUUUUCUUUAUCUUGCAAUUCCAAAUCUGGACUUUGUUGAGAACUUGUUGUUUUCUGGGUAGAAAAAUAGCCACUUCCAGAUAGUCCGAAAAAGAUAAGUAGACUUUAUUAACAUACUUUUUUUUUUUGCAAUUAGACGGGUUGAAAUCGUUUAUGUACUCGUAUAUAAGUACCAUAGAUUCUUAAUACCAAUGAAACAUAACAAUAAAAGUAAACCAACUCCGAUCAUCAGCCGAGGUCGGAAUUGUCCGAUACUGGCAAUACUGAAGCCGAAGAUCGUCUCUAGUGUAGCAUAAAAAUUA